CCUACGGGAGGCAGCAGUGAGGAAUAUUGGUCAAUGGGCGCGAGCCUGAACCAGCCAAGUAGCGUGAAGGAUGACUGCCCUGCGGGUUGUAAACUUCUUUUAUCAAGGAAUAAAGUCAGGCACGUGUGCCUUUUUGUGUGUACUUUAUGAAUAAGCAUCGGCUAACUCCGUGCCAGCAGCCGCGGUAAUACGGAGGAUCCGAGCGUUAUCCGGAUUUAUUGGGUUUAAAGGGAGCGUAGAUGGGUUGUUAAGUCAGUUGUGAAAGUUUGCGGCUCAACCCUAAAAUUGCAGUUGAUACUGGCAGCCUUGAGUAGAGUUGAGGUAGGCGGAAUGCGUGGUGUAGCGGUGAAAUGCUUAGAUAUCACGAAGAACUCCGAUUGCGAAGGCAGCUUACUAACCUGCCACUGACAUUGAGGCUCGAAAGUGUGGGUAUCAAACAGGAUUAGAUACCCCGGUAGUC
rnacentral:rRNA from 1 species